GACGAACGCUGGCGGCGUGCUUAACACAUGCAAGUCGAACGAUGAAGCUGGAGCUUGCUCUGGUGGAUUAGUGGUGAACGGGUGAGUAACACGUGAGUAACCUGCCCUGGACUCUGGGAUAACCCCGAGAAAUCGGAGCUAAUACCGGAUAGGACCUCGGAUCGCAUGAUCUGGGGUGGAAAGUUUUUCGGUCUGGGAUGGACUCGCGGACUAUCAGCUUGUUGGUGAGGUAAUGGCUCACCAAGGCGUCGACGGGUAGCCGGCCUGAGAGGGUGAGCGGCCACACUGGGGCUGAGACACGGCACAGACUCCUACGGGAGGCAGCAGUGGGGAAUAUUGCACAAUGGGCGCAAGCCUGAUGCAGCAACGCCGCGUGCGGGAUGACGGCCUUCGGGUUGUAAACCGCUUUUAGUAAGGAAGAAGCCGCAAGGUGACGGUACUUGCAGAAAAAGGACCGGCUAACUACGUGCCAGCCGCCGCCGUAAGAC
rnacentral:rRNA from 1 species